UACGGGGGGGGGCAAGCGUUGUUCGGAAUUACUGGGCGUAAAGGGCUCGUAGGCGGCCAACUAAGUCGGAUGUGAAAUCCCCCAGGCUUAACCUGGGAACUGCAUCCGAUACUGGAUGGCUUGAAUUCGGGAGAGGGAUGCAGAAUUCCAGGUGUAGCGGUGAAAUGCGUAGAGAUGUGGAGGAAUACCGAUGGCGAAGGCAGCCCCCUGGGAUAACACUGACGCUCAUGCACGAAAGCGUGGGGAGCAAACAGG
rnacentral:rRNA from 1 species